rnacentral:rRNA from 1 species
UACGUAGGGGGCUAGCGUUGUCCGGAAUCAUUGGGCGUAAAGCGCGUGUAGGCGGUUCGGUAAGUCCGCUGUGAAAGUCGGGGGCUCAACCCUCGGAUGCCGGUGGAUACUGUCGAGCUUGAGUACGGAAGAGGCGAGUGGAAUUCCUGGUGUAGCGGUGAAAUGCGCAGAUAUCAGGAGGAACACCAAUUGCGAAGGCAGCUCGCUGGGACGUUACUGACGCUGAUGCGCGAAAGCCAGGGGAGCGAACGGG